CUGCAGAGAAGUUGACUCUCUGGACAUCUCUAGCUGCACUGCUGACAAAAAGAAAGUGUUUUUCACUAUCUCCUUUGAAGCAUUCAGUUCUAGCACAAGUUCAGUUUCUGUUUUUCAUCUCAUACAACCAUACAUUGGAGGUGCAAGUGUUGACUAUAUCCGUAGUUUGGUGGCCUCUGACGUCAACAUGGACCUGGCUACCUUCACCAGUUUGGAUGAAAAUGUUGUGCUGAGUCUAACUGCAAGUGAAGUUAAAGGUCUUCUUGGCACCAACCUCCCAGAUUUGAAGUCUUAUGAAAACCAAGUACUGGUGCAGACCUGGAUCAAAAAUCAAUACCAGUCUGAGCUUGAUAUUCUAGGAUUGGGCCUCCAGGGAGGCAAAGUUGACCCCACAACUAUGCCAUAUAACAGUUCUACAACAGAUUUGUCACCAACAACAACUAGUUUCAAUACAUCCCCAGCAAGCACGGCUGAAUCUCCAUCCACAGGUUAUACAACAGAUUUAUCACCAACAACUAAUGUAACUGGAUUCAAUACAUCACCAGCAAGCACAGCUGAAUCUCCAUCCACAGGUUAUACAACAAAUUUGUCAGCAGCAACAACAACUAAUGUAACUGAGUUCAGUCCAUCAUCAGCAGGCACUGCUGAACCUUCAACCAUUGGUUCUACAACAACUAUAUCACAGACAACAAUUAAUGUCACUGAGUUCAGUCCAUCAUCAAGCACUGCUGAACCUUUAACCAUUGGUUC